CUUGCAGUUAUUCCUAAUUUUUCCUGUUUUAAACUUACCAAUUCUUGCUCUGUGAGUUAAGCUUAUGGGUGAAAUGUGUAGAGUGCAUUUAAAGCUGCUUUGCUAUGAGCUAAACCUCUAAUUUCAGACCUACUUUAAUAAAUCACCUAAAUGUUUGGUUUCCAGUCUGAGAUGAAGAAGGACCGCCUGAAUCUGAUGGCAGCUCUGUGUGAGAGCGUGUUGGCAGUCAACAUGUUACUGAGUGUCUUCUUUCUUCCAGGUGCUUUGGCUGAUUGUCCCGAUCCAGUCCUCUUUGCUGACACACCUGGGCAGAUUGAAGCACUGAGUGGAUCUUGUUUGCUACUGCCAUGCAGCUUUAAUUCAACGGAUUCCACAUAUGACAAGACCAGAAGUAUUUAUGGAAUUUGGUUGAGAGGAAAUCAUAAAUAUAAUGCCAACCCAAGCCUUAUCAUUUUUAGCAGCAGUGGCUCACUGAAAAUGAUCAGAAACCUGAGAGAGAAAAAACUGCACUACUUUUCUGAUUUAAAGACAAGUUUUACAGACAGAUACUUCUUCAGAGUUGAGAAUGGGAAGUACAGAUCAACAGUUUGUGAUUAUCCUCUUCACAUAACAGUUAAAGAACGCACAAGGAGCAGAUGAUGGCAACAAAGUGUUGGAGCUUCAGGCAUCAUGAUCGUGACCUUGUCAGAGGAUUUCUUCUUUCCAUCCAUCCAACCAUUGCAAGUUCAAGGUCACAGCAGGAACUGGUGUCUGUCUCCAGGCCAGAAGAGGAGUCCAGCCUGGACAGCUCACCGGUCCAUCACAGGCCCAACCAUCGUGUCAUGGAAGGGAUUUCUGAUGUCUUCACUGUCACCUUUGACUGUACAUGUGUUAUAAAGUGAAACACAAUACUUUGGUGGAUCAUGCAAAGGAGGAUUCCUCUAAGUAAGAAAUGGAAAUGUUUUUUAGUACAACUAGAAUGUUUUUUUUUCAGUGUUACUUUUAAUUUAUGGUCAUUUUACCUGAUGUUUAAUAUUCAAGACAAGAUUUUAAAGGAUUUUGUUGACCUGUAUAAAAAUUAAAUUAGAUAUAAAACAUUGCCCCAAAACAUUGGAUUCAACUGGAAGUUGAAUCCAAUGUUUAAAAUUAAAAUUAAAAUACUGUGAUGCAGAAAAGGGCAACAUCAUUUAUACAUUUAUUCUACAUGAAACCAAAUUUAACACCAGCUCCAAGUUUCUCCAGGUGUGGUCCUUGUUCCUCUGGUGUUCCUCAGGGUAAAACUCCUGAAUUUUCAGAGCUCCAGUCUUCAUCAGGUCAACAUGAGGCCUUAAAUCACGUUUUUCACAUUUUAAACAAUGUUUACUGAAACAAAGAUUACAGAGAGUCACUUUUCCUGAUUAUCAGCCUUGGCCUAUUUUAAUGUUGACUUUGCUUCAGUUGUCACAUCGUGACUCUGUCCUAUCAGGUAUUGCUCCUGUUUCUGAAACUCGUUUCCUUUUCUCCUGUCUCUCUCUUCUUGUUGCCUGAAAUGUUUUAGUCUCUGCCUGCAAACUAAACUCCAUCAGCUGCAUUCAGACUCUUAUUAUUUGUUCAAACAGGACUGGAAAAAUAUAUUUUCAUCCUUAAUUAUACGGUGAAUUUUGUUAUACAUAUAAUCUUGUACUAAACAUUUGUUUUGUUAGAAAGUAAAAUUAUCGAUUGAGAUUUUAACGCCCUCUGGUGUACACA